GGGGAUAUAGCUCAGCGGUAGAGCGCUUGCCUAGCAAGCGCAAGGCCCUGGGUUCGGUCCCCAGCUCCG
rfam:Rattus norvegicus chromosome 5, whole genome shotgun sequence.